UACGUAGGGGGCAAGCGUUGUCCGGAAUCAUUGGGCGUAAAGCGCGUGUAGGCGGGAGGCCAAGUCUGCGGUGAAAUCGCUCGGCUCAACUGGGCGGGGUCCGUGGAAACUGGUCACCUGGAGGACGGUAGAGGCGAGUGGAAUUCCCGGUGUAGUGGUGAAAUGCGUAGAGAUCGGGAGGAACACCAGUGGCGAAGGCGGCUCGCUGGGCCGGACCUGACGCUGAGACGCGAAGGCGUGGGGAGCGAACGGG
rnacentral:rRNA from 1 species